rnacentral:misc_RNA from 1 species
UUUUUUUUUAUUUUUUUAUUUUAUGGAAUACAAAAAAUUUCAAAGAUUUUCCUUGAAAUAGGUUUUAGUUGCUGAUGUUUCAAAAUCAUGAAUUUUAGCUAUUUUACUAUCAUCAAUGAAGAAUAUUCAAUUUUUAGAAGUUUAUAAUACAAUAAUAAAAUUUAAUUAAUUAAAGAUUAAUAUAUAAUACAAAGUCUUAUAAUUCUAU